AGAAUCAACGCUGGCGGCGUGCCUAACACAUGCAAGUCGCACGAGAAAGGGGAGCAAUCCAUGAGUAAAGUGGCGCACGGGUGAGUAACACGUGAAUUAUCUACCUCCGAGUGGGGAAUAACUGAGAGAAAUCUUAGCUAAUACCGCAUAACACUUACGAGUCAAAGCAGCAAUGCGCUUGGAGAGGAGUUCGCGGCCGAUUAGUUAGUUGGCGGGGUAAUGGCCCACCAAGACGAUGAUCGGUA
rnacentral:rRNA from 1 species